rnacentral:ncRNA from 1 species
UAAAAGUUUGAUUCUUUCUUUUUUUUCUAUUAAUAUCAUUGAAAUUGUAUGAGAUUAAUUAAAUGUAAUAAGUGAAAUAUAAUUGUUUUAAACAAUUUAUAAAAAUAAAAUUAGGACGUUUAGGUCGAUAAAAUUAUAAAUUCUCAGCAUAUAAUAUUAAAUUAAUACAUUAAGGUGUGAUUUAGUAAAUGAUUUUAAACCUGAUUAAAUAUUUGUGCCAGCAAUCGCGGUUAGACUUUAAGGUUGAGUAGAAAAAUUUGAGUUGUUAGUUAAAUAAAUAGUUAGAGGUUUAAUCUAGUAAAAUAAAAGGUGAAAUUGGGUUGUUUCUAUAUAGAUUUAAUUUAACUUGUAUUGAAGCUGAGAAAUUUCAGAUUUAAACUAGGAUUAGAUACCCUAUUAUACUGAUAGAUAAAUAGAAAUACCAGAUUAUUAAUAGAUAUGUUCUUGAAAUUUAAAGAAUUUGGCGGUGAUUUAGUCUAAUUAGAGGAACCUGUUUUUAAAUCGAUAAACCACGUAAGAUCUUGCUUACCUUAUAAGUUAAGUUUGUAUACCGUCAUUAGCAGAUAAUUUUUAAAGAAGAAAUUAUUAAGGACAAAAUAUAGUUUUAAUUGAUUAAAUUAGAUCAAGGUGCAGCUCAUAGGUAAGUUAAAAUGGGUUACAAUAAAUUUUAUUUAUUAUGGAUAUUUAAUGGAAGGCAUUAAUUGGAAGGAGGAUUUGAUUGUAAUAUAAGUUUAAUAUGCUUAGGAGACAUAAGCUCUAAAUCAUGUACAUAUCGCCCGUCGCUUUCAUUAUAUAGAUGAGAUAAGUCGUAACAUAGUAGGUUUACUGGAAAGUGGACCUAGAUUAAA